rnacentral:rRNA from 1 species
CAAUAGCGUAUAUUAAAGUUGUUGCGGUUAGAAAGCUCGUAGUUGGAUUUCUGCUGAGAACGACCGGUCCGCCCAUUGGGUGUGUAUCUGGCUCUUUCUUGGCAUCUUCUUGGUGAACGUUACUGCACUUGACUGCGUGGAGCGCUACCCAGGACUUUUACUUUGAGGAAAUUAGAGUGUUUCAAGCAGGCAUACGCCUUGAAUACGUUAGCAUGGAAUAAUAAGAUAGGACCUCGGUUCUAUUUUGUUGGUUUCUAGAGCUGAGGUAAUGAUUAAUAGGGAUAGUUGGGGGCAUUCGUAUUUAAUUGUCAGAGGUGAAAUUCUUGGAUUUAUGAAAGACGAACUAGUGCGAAAGCAUUUGCCAGGAUGUUUUCAUUAA